UGUGUGUGUGUGUGUGUGUCUUCAAGCAGUAGAGAAAGGCAGAUUAGACAAGUACAAAAAUACAUGAUUUCUGCAUGUAACCCAGAAUUCAUUGCUUAGUAUGAGUUUUGAUAAUUACCCAAAAAAUGGU